rnacentral:lncRNA from 1 species
GAUAGCUCCUGAGUGGCAGGAGGGGUCCUGAAUGGGUAGCCAGCGACCCCAAUUUACAGGGAAGUUUUAUAGAGUAAAACCCACAGAAGUAUAACGUGGGUUAAAGCUACGACCCACCAAUGAGGUUACAAGUAUAGUCGCUUAGAUAAUAGUGAUCCAAGGGGGGAAAAAGUCACAUAACAAGUGUGCAUGGAAAGAACAAAGACGUUUUCUAGGAUGUGAUGCAUCCAGAGUUCCUGGUCACCCACCAGGGUGACUAAUGUCCAUUUAGGCUUCAUUAGGCCAGGUGAUACCACUUAUCUUGUCCUUUGGGGAAGUACGUAGGCCUGGCCAUUUCGUCUUUACCUGGAGGUCUGGUCUCCAAUGGAUGCAUCUCCAGCCAUGGUUGUAAUAUGUUUUACCUUUUCCCUGACUCUCUUGAGGGCCUAGCUCUAUCUGACUGCCUAUGAUAUUUCUACCUGUCUAUAAUAAUGGAAGGCAGCGAACUUCAUUACACAGGUAGGGUGGGUUUAGGUUCUGUCUCUGCUGUGGGAACUUCUUUGGGCUCUGUCUAGGCACGGUCCCUGUCUAAGCAGACAUCACUCCAGCCUGUCAUCCUGAGCCAUUUUCUGCAUGCCUCGUUCACCUUUCUCCUUCUGUUUGGCUCUGGAAGUCACGCAUCUGCUCAACAAGUUGGCCAGAUUCCUGCUCGGCUUGGUUUCCAGUCUGUGCUGUGCCUUCAUCUCCAGAAGCCAGAGAAAGUGGUGCUGGGCUGCGCCGGUGGGUAGCUCCAAGGAGUCCUCUUCGUCCUGUUUCCUUCUCAGAAGUUAGACCUUGGGAUGGCUUCCAGUGGCACUGAGGUCAGAGCUAUUGCUCCAGCUAAAGCUAACAGUGUUCUGCUCAGGAAGUGGACCCCUGCCUUCCCAGAAGACAACAGAACAGAAGCAGCUGGAGGUGGGAGACUGCAAACAGGUGUGCAGGAGGAUGAGGAAGAAGCUGAACAGAAGCAUGAGGCAGAGUUCUACAGACAGCGGAGAUUGUUUUCCAUUCACUCUGGCAAGGACACCCACACCUUUUACAUCAAUUUACAACAAGAAGGACAAUUUCCUUCUCGAGAGUGCCAAUGGGGGGAUGAGGAGGAGGCUGGAGAGGAGGGAAAGAGGGUAGUCCGAGUAUAAGAGGACCUCUGGGCUUCCAGAAGCAGCAGACAUCAAGUACAGGCCACAGGGUUAGGAGGAACAGUCAGUCCCUUAGAAUCACUUUCUACCAGAGGCAGAAGGGGCUCAGCCACCAACAACCCCAUUUGACAGAGGAGAAAUCAAGGCUGUAGUCAAUUCUCCCUAAACUGCAGAGUGAGAAGCCAAGCGUAGACCAGAGCACUAUCUCCCGGCAUAGGGAGGGAAAGCUUCUUGACUCUGGAAUUGCCUGGGAAGGGCAAAACAUUUGCAGCCACACAGCCAGGAGCCCGGUUGGUUAUUUUUAGCUUACUGAAUGUCAAAAUCCAGGCUGCUCCUCCCAGUGGCCUCCACUUGUCAGACCCAAUCAAGGCAUGUGCAUGUCAGGCAGGGGAAUCAGCUUCCCACAGAAGCAGCCUUGAGGCCCCGUCCAGUCCCACAUGGUGCCCCUGAUAAGGCCCUGGGGUGUCCCUCAUGGGGUCCAAGUCCAGCUGGUUGGGAGCAGCUCUCCACCCACCUGCCAGGGCGUGGCUCCCACCUGCAGCCUGGGUCACACCUGAGCACAGUCCGCAGCCUUUGCUUGCCUGGGUUUUCCCUGGGCUGAAGCCAGCUCGGCAGCCCUGCUUUGGUAAGGGGUGACCACAGGAGCUGGUCUCUGACCCCAGCCACCGUUUGGGCUUCUGUCUUCGUUUUGACGUUUUGGGACUCUCCCGCCUUUGCUUGCUUUUCUCCUUCUUAGCAGCACUCUCGCUCUGACUCUAAUUCCUCUCAAGAUGAAAAUCAUGGGGCUCGUGUCUCCGCAGAAUCAACACAGGUUACAGGAAUAAAAGCAAGCUGCAGUCCUGAGUGCUGCCCAACUGUCGGAACACCUACUGGCUGGGCUUUGGACACAAACACUCCCCCUGAGCCUCAGGAGGCUGACAGUCCCCUGGACAGAAGAGCAUGAGGCCUUCGUGCUGGGAUCUCAGGACGGGUUGCACAGGACUUUGUGAGGCGAAACAGGGUGUCGGGGGGUAAGACUUUAGAGCUGGCAGGGUGGGCUUCUCUCAGGUCUGACAAGGUGCAGGGAAGGAGAGGGGAAGAAGCAGCAUGAGUGGGAGGGCGAGCA